CGCGGCCUAUCAGCUUGUUGGUGAGGUAACGGCUCACCAAGGCAUCGACGGGUAGCUGGUCUGAGAGGAUGAUCAGCCACACUGGGACUGAGACACGGCCCAGACUCCUACGGGAGGCAGCAGUAGGGAGUCUUGCGCAAUGGGCGAAAGCCUGACGCAGCAACGCCGCGUGGGGGAUGAAUGCCUUCGGGUUGUAAACCCCUUUCAGCAGGGACGAAAAUGACGGUACCUGCAGAAGAAGCUCCGGCCAACUACGUGCCAGCAGCCGCGGUAAUACGUAGGGAGCGAGCGUUGUCCGGAAUUAUUGGGCGUAAAGAGCUCGUAGGCGGUUCAGUAAGUCGGGUGUGAAAACUCAAGGCUCAACCUUGAGACGCCACUCGAUACUGCUGUGACUUGAGUCCGGUAGAGGAGUGUGGAAUUCCUGGUGUAGCGGUGAAAUGCGCAAAUAUCAGGAGGAACACCAGCGGCGAAGGCGGCACUCUGGGCCGGUACUGACGCUGAGGAGCGAAAGCAUGGGGAGCAAACAGGAUUAGAUACCCUGGUAGUCCAUGCCGUAAACGUUGGGCACUAGGUAUGGGAUCAUAUCAACGGAUUCCGUGCCGUAGCUAACGCAUUAAGUGCCCCGCCUGGGGAGUACGG
rnacentral:rRNA from 1 species